rnacentral:rRNA from 1 species
AUUGAACGCUGGCGGAAUGCUUUACACAUGCAAGUCGAACGGCAGCACGGGGGCAACCCUGGUGGCGAGUGGCGAACGGGUGAGUAAUGUAUCGGAACGUGCCCAGUCGUGGGGGAUAACGUAGUGAAAAUUACGCUAAUACCGCAUACGAUCUAUGGAUGAAAGCGGGGGAUCGCAAGACCUCGCGCGAUUGGAGCGGCCGAUAUCAGAUUAGGUAGUUGGUGGGGUAAAGGCUCACCAAGCCGACGAUCUGUAGCUGGUCUGAGAGGACGACCAGCCACACUGGAACUGAGACACGGUCCAGACUCCUACGGGAGGCAGCAGUGGGGAAUUUUGGACAAUGGGCGAAAGCCUGAUCCAGCCAUUCCGCGUGCAGGAUGAAGGCCUUCGGGUUGUAAACUGCUUUUGUACGGAACGAAACGGCGAGCUCUAAUACAGUUUGCUAAUGACGGUACCGUAAGAAUAAGCACCGGCUAACUACGUGCCAGCCGCCGCCGCGG